rnacentral:rRNA from 1 species
UACGGGGGGGGCAAGCGUUGUUCGGAAUUGCUGGGCGUAAAGGGCUCGUAGGCGGCCAACUAAGUCAGACGUGAAAUCCCUAGGCUCAACCUAGGAACUGCGUCUGAUACUGGAUGGCUUGAAUCCGGGAGAGGGAUGCAGAAUUCCAGGUGUAGCGGUGAAAUGCGUAGAUAUCUGGAGGAAUACCGGUGGCGAAGGCGGCAUCCUGGACCGGCAUUGACGCUGAGGAGCGAAAGCCAGGGGAGCAAACGGG